rnacentral:tRNA from 1 species
GCAGUGGUGGUGCAGGGGUGGCAUUCCUGCCUUUUAUGCAGGAGACCCAGGUUCGAUUCCUGGCCAACACA